AUCAUUCUGUAUAUCCUAAAAUAUCUGUUGUGAUGCCUAAUAUGUAGCAACGACCCAAAUAUUUGAUAAAUGAAUGAACAAAAACAAUCACUGAGCCAUUAUUAGACCCAAGUCUAUGUUCUCGAAGCUGGUAUUUCAAUUUUAAAAAGUCCAUUCAAAAUUCUUAGCUGCCAAGAAGAAACUUGAGUAGUGUCUCAUGGAUCACAGACUGCCUGAAUUCUAGGGGGAUGUCCAGAUGAAAAACUCCUGUUUCAUGGAACACUCUUUUCCCAGGAGGAACCAAGGGUCAACCCACCUCAAGGCUCUCAACAAGGCAUCUCAAGUUCCCCAGAUUGGUCUUCUCCCAUCCCUCUUUCACUCUACUUGGCCUGGUGAACCUCAAAGCACCCUAGAGGUCUAAGAACACUUUGAAGUCAGCGGAACUCCCUACCAUACUUAUUUAUAGCUGAUUCUAUAUAUCUUUCAUUACACUCUUGAUAGAUGUAAUUCAAUAAUUAUUUGCAUAAUCUUCCAUUUAGUGUAGGUUGUUUAAAGACUAUUUAUUUAUUUAUUUGACAGAGAGAGAGAAAGAUCACAAGUAGGCAGAGGAGCAGACAGAGAGAGAGGGGGAACCAGACUCCCUGCAGAGUAGAGAGUCCGAUGUGGGGCUGGAUCCCAGGACCCUGAGAUCAUGACCUGAGCUGAAGGCAGAAGCUUAACCCACUGAGCCACGCAGCCACCCCAAGUGUUGGUUGUUAAAACUAGACUACAGCUCACUGGAAGCGAGUCACUCACAAUUAGAAGUGCCCAACCAGGAGUUUAAAAAAAUAAAAUGAAUAAACCAAAGAAGUCACAGAGACGGCCCUCUACAGAUUCUUCUAAAUGUAAAACUUGGAACACAAUAACAAAGUUAGUUGGCCUAGCUUGAGCAAUCAUUGCUUGCACCUGUUGUCUUUGAAUUAAAUUCUAAUGAGAUGGCAGAGACCACUCAUAAAUAUUUAUGAAGACGAGGAGUUUGGCACACACUGGCACUGGGCUGCAAACCCCAAGUGAUGUUAUUUCUUGUUCAGUAGCUUUCCUGUAUCACAGCCACAAGUUCCAUCCUAAAGUGUUGCCAGAAUUUUGAUCUCCAGAAGGAGCUUCUUUUUUCUAGCUUGAUUGUAAAACCUGAAUUUAGAACAGACUCAACAUUUUCAUAUAAUCUUAUCUUAGAGGCAAUGAGCUUCUUCGUUUCAUCCUAAAACCACUAGUUUCUAGUAAACAAAAUACGAUGUUAAGAGAUAUGCUUCUUAUAAAGUAAGUGCUGUAAACAAAAGGAACAACACUCUCCUAUUUCUGAGCCCUGUUGUUUACAGUCCUGGUUAGGACAGUGAUGUUGGAUCUUAAGAGGGGAGAAUAUUCAGUGCAGAUGUCUGAGAUAAAGGAGGUUUUGUAAAACCAAAACCAAACCACUUUAACAAGAUCAGCAAUGUUGUUAGAGUCCUCAAGAAGCAAAAGUUAAUAAAUUCAAAGGGUGACUUCUAAAUACAAUUUAAUCUCCUCAGGAAACACCUCAAUGUUUCUGUCAUCAAUACAGAUAUUUUGUCACAUUUCUGGAAUACUUUGUUACUAUCUACUGGUUGUAAUUAGCUGGUCAGAAAUCUUUUAUGCCAUGCUCUUCUGUCUUAAUAAACUGUCACAGGGCUAUAUCUCGGUGCCAGUAUUUUGCCAGUAUUCUUACAGAGGAGUGAGAGACUGAUAAUCUCAUCAAUGAACAGGAGAGAAGACCUCAG